UACGUAGGGUGCAAGCGUUGUCCGGAAUUAUUGGGCGUAAAGAGCUCGUAGGCGGUCUGUCACGUCGGCUGUGAAAUCCCGAGGCUCAAACCUCGGGGUCUGCAGUCGAUACGGGGCAAACUAGAGUAUUGCAGGGGAGACUGGAAUUCCUGGUGUAGCGGUGAAAUGCGCAGAUAUCAGGAGGAACACCGGUGGCGAAGGCGGGUCUCUGGGCAAUAACUGACGUGAGGAGCGA
rnacentral:rRNA from 1 species